AUUGAACGCUGGCGGCAGGCUUAACACAUGCAAGUCGAGCGGAAGAAGGGAGCUUGCUUCUGGUUCUAGCGGGGCACGGGGGUGUAAUGCCCAUGAAUCUGCUUGGCUGGGGGUGGUAAUGUCCGCAAACAGGUGGUGAUACCGCCUACUUCGUGCGGGAGCUAGUUGGGGAUGUUUGGACCUCAUCCUCUCAGAUGAGUCGAGGUCGGGUUAGCUAGUUGGUGGGGUAAAGGCCUACCAAGCCGACGAUCCGUAACUGGUCUGACAGGAUGGUCGGUCACACUGGAACUGAGACACGGUCCAGACUCCUACGGUAGGGAGCAGUGGGGAAUAUUGGACAGUGGGCGAAAGCAUGAUCCAACCAUGCCACGUGUGUGAAAAAGGUCUUCGGAUUGUAAAGCACUUUAAGUUGGGGGGAAGGGCAGUAAGUUAAUACCUUGCUGUUUUGACGUUACCAACAGAAUAAGCACCGGCUAACUUCGUG
rnacentral:rRNA from 1 species